rnacentral:rRNA from 1 species
CACACCGCCCGUCACACCAUGGGAGUUGGUUUUACCUUAAGACGGUGUGCUAACCAGCAAUGGAGGCAGCCGGCCACGGCAAGGUCAGCGACUGGGGUG